AUGCCAUCUAAGAUUGCUGGGGGCAUGCGCUUGGUGAAUACAUUUGAGCUCUGCUUUGGAAAUUUAGAUGGCUACAGUGAAGAGCAAACCAGUACUAAGUUGCUUGCUUUGAGCCUAUGUCAAUCCAUUGUUUCACUUGCUACUUUUAAGGGUAAAACUAGACAGUUAACAUGCACAGGCACAAUCAUACAGCACACAACAUCCAGCAUGAGCAUUCUAACCUCUGCGAGCUUGAUUAGAUCCUCUGAAGAUGAAAGUAAGAUGCUUGAUAAACUGGAGAUUAAGGUGCGCCUGCCCAAUGGCAAGCUUGUUGUAGGAAAACUGUGGAAAUAUGAUCUUUAUUAUAAUAUUGUUGUUGUGAACACCAAGGCUUUUCCAGAACUUCGUGCAGCAUGCUUUCAUAAUGAGGUGCUAGCUAUUGUCAAAUAA
rnacentral:rRNA from 1 species